rnacentral:piRNA from 1 species
UACAAAGUAUCUGCACUGCAGGAGGG